rnacentral:rRNA from 1 species
GACGAACGCUGGCGGCGUGCCUAAUACAUGCAAGUCGAACGCAUUUUCUUUCACCGUGGCUUGCUACACCGAGAGAAAAUGAGUGGCGAACGGGUGAGAAACACGUCGUUAACUUGCCCAUCAGCGAGGGAUAACACUUGGAAACAGGUGCUAAUACCGCGUAAUUCCGUUUGCUGCGUGGUAGAUGGGUGAAUGGCGCUUUUGCGUCACUUAUGGAUGUACCUGCGGUGCAUUAGCUAGUCGGUGGGGUAACGGCGUACCAAGGCUGCGAUGCAUAGCCGACCUGGGAGGGAGAGCGGCCACACUGGGACGGAGAAACGGCCCAGACGCCUACGGGAGGCAGCAGUAGGGAAUCCUCGGGGAAGGAGGCAAGUCUGACCGAGCAACGCCGCGGGAGUGAAGAAGGGUGUCGGAGCGUAAAACUCUGUUGUUAGAGAAGAAAAAGGAUGAGACUUGAAAGUUCAUGCCUUGACGGUAACUAAGCAGAAAGCCACGGCUAACUUCGUG